AUUUUCAUGACCACCGACAUUAAUUCGAUCAAAAUUGACGUAAAGCACCUCUGCUUUUAUAUUUGUUUCUUCCAAUAAUUU
rnacentral:rRNA from 14 species